rnacentral:sRNA from 1 species
GGGCUUACGAAAUGCACGUGUCCGUCGAUACCGGCGGCAGUCAGUAUGAGAUGCUCGCCGGAGAUAGCGUCGCAGCUCGGGCCUGUGCACAGAGUGGGAGUGACGCCUUCCAUCACAUUGGGGUUGCCGGCUUUGCCUAUGCCUGCGAUCUUGCCGUCCUUGAUGCCGACGUCGGCCUUGACGACUCCUAAGAUAGGAUCGAUGAUGGUAACGUUGGUUAUCACCAGAUCGAGCGAUCCGUCGGCAGAUGUAACCGUGUUGGCGGUGCCCAUGCCGUCGCGC